rnacentral:tRNA from 1 species
GGUGAGAUGGCUCAGUGGCUAAGAGCAUUGGCCGCUCCUCCAGAGGACCUGGGUUCAAUUCCCAGCACCC